GGGCUACCUUGGAGACAGCAUAAGACUCUUAAUCUCAGGGUUGUGGGUUCAAGCCCCAUGUUGGACA